rnacentral:rRNA from 1 species
AUACGGAGGAUCCGAGCGUUAUCCGGAUUUAUUGGGUUUAAAGGGUGCGUAGGCGGCCUUUUAAGUCAGCGGUGAAAGUCUGUGGCUCAACCAUAGAAUUGCCGUUGAAACUGGGGGGCUUGAGUAUGUUUGAGGCAGGCGGACUGCGGGGUGUAGAGGUGAAAUGCAUAGAAAUCACGCAGAACCCCGAUUGCGAAGGCAGCCUGCCAAGCCAUGACUGACGCUGAUGCACGAAAGCGUGGGGAUCAAACAGGAUUAGAUACCCUGGUAGUCCACGCAGUAAACGAUGAUCACUAGCUGUUUGCGAUACACUGUAAGCGGCACAGCGAAAGCGUUAAGUGAUCCACCUGGGGAGUACGCCGGCAACGGUGAAACUCAAAUGAAUUGACGGGG